rnacentral:rRNA from 1 species
AGCGAACGCUGGCGGCAGGCUUAACACAUGCAAGUCGAACGGGCAUCUUCGGAUGUCAGCGGCAGACGGGUGAGUAACACGUGGGAACGUACCCUUCGGUUCGGAACAACUCUGGGAAACUGGAGCUAAUACCGGAUACGCCCUUAUGGGGAAAGGUUUACUGCCGAAGGAUCGGCCCGCGUCUGAUUAGCUAGUUGGUGGGGUAACGGCCUACCAAGGCGACGAUCAGUAGCUGGUCUGAGAGGAUGAUCAGCCACACUGGGACUGAGACACGGCCCAGACUCCUACGGGAGGCAGCAGUGGGGAAUAUUGGACAAUGGGCGCAAGCCUGAUCCAGCUAUGCCGCGUGAGUGAUGAAGGCCUUAGGGUUGUAAAGCUCUUUUGUCCGGGACGAUAAUGACGGUACCGGAAGAAUAAGCCCCGGCUAACUUCGUG